rnacentral:rRNA from 1 species
UGCUCGAACGAGAAAGUCCCCUUCGGGGGGCGAGUAAAGUGGCGCACGGGUGAGUAACACGUAGGUAAUCUACCUUCGGGUGGGGAAUAACCCAGGGAAACUUGGGCUAACACCGCAUAAUGCAGCGGCACCACAUGGUGACAGUUGUUAAAGCGGGGGAUUUUAGGACCUCGCGCCUGAAGAGGAGCCUGCGGCGGAUUAGCUAGUUGGUAAGGUAACGGCUUACCAAGGCGACGAUCCGUAGCCGGCCUGAGAGGGCGGUCGGCCACACUGACACUGACAUACGGGUCAGACUCCUACGGGAGGCAGCAGUCGGGAAUUUUGGGCAAUGGGCGAAAGCCUGACCCAGCAACGCCGCGUGAAGGAUGAAAUCCCUCGGGAUGUAAACUUCGCAAGAAUGGGAAGAAUUAGUAGGGGUUAAUACCCCCUAUGAUGACGGUACCAUUUGUAAGCUCCGGCUAACUCCGUGCCAGCAGCCGCGGUAAUACGGGGGGAGCAAGCGUUGUUCGGAUUUACUGGGCGUAAAGGGCGCGUAGGCGGCCAGCGCAAGUCGGUUGUGAAAUCUCCGGGCUUAACUCGGAAAGGUCAACCGAUACUGUGCGGCUAGAGUGCGGAAGGGGCAACUGGAAUUCUCGGUGUAGCGGUGAAAUGCGUAGAUAUCGAGAGGAACACCUGCGGCGACGGGUUGCUGGGCCGACACUGACGCUGAGGCGCGAAAGCCAGGGGAGCGAACGGGAUUAGAUACCCCGGUAGUCCUGGCUUAAACGAUGGAUGCUUGGUGUCUGGGGUUUUAUAGUCCCCGGGGCCGUACUAACGCGUUAAGCAUCCCGCCUGGGGAGUACGGUCGCAGACUGAAACUCAAAGGAAUUGACGGGGA